GAAAGAAAAGCCUGCUUUCAAGGGGCCCAUGGAGAAAUUCACCCAUUCUAAAAACCAAACAAAAUCACCAGAAAGAAAGGUGCAUAGUCCUUUGGUUAAAAAAAAGACUCACUGGAUAAGCUCUGAGCACAUCUCAGAGAGGCAGAAGGUGAUUGGGAUCACCACCCCAGGGAGUGAACACUGGUCGGAGCCAUUAUUGUGACAUAAUACAGGCCUCUGAGACAGACAGUGGCAGAUGCAAUUGUAUUUCUUCCCAUGGUCUGUUAGCUGAGGGGUUUAGCCUACCCACUAGAGCAGUGAUUUAAUCCAGCUCAUCCAGGGAAGGCGCCCUGCCCUAGGGACUCACCCCACCCACUAGCCAGCCAACAGGGAACUUGUGGGGCUGUGUAGGUGGUGUGUUCUGGACCUCUACAGCAAGACAAGCAGAAUCCAUGUCAUUCGAGGGCUUUAGAAACUCAGCGCCAUAGGAAGUUUGCAGAUGAAGCAUUUGUCCAGUCCAGACCUUGUACUGCAUGUCGGGCGCUCCCAGCACCGCCAGGGAAUUCUGGGGAAAGCCCAGGUGACCCUUUCCUAGCUGAAGACACAAAGGACCCCAAGGCCCCUUACCUGCGACAGGCCAAACUGAGGAACAGAAAGCUCACCCUCCUGAGGGCCGUUCGACAACAUGGUCAGCAACCAAACUCCUGCAAGACAAAAGCAAUAUAUGAGGCCUCAGGAAAUAAACCCAAAGCAGUAUUUGCAGAAUGCGGACUUCCAUGCCAGAAAGGGCUGUCGAGAAUAUGUCACAUUUCCUUUAACACACUUCUUGGGGAAGUCAACAUUUUGCCUGUCUAUUGUGACCCUUUAGCACUCGCACUUGAUACAUGCUCCUUCCUGCACGGUCCUCUCCUUUUGUGCUAAAUGCUUCCACUCUACAGUCAGUCAAGAGAAGAAAAAUGAUGGCGUGUGCAUGCCAGAGGGAGUCAGCACCCUCCAAAUCAUCAGGAGCAUGUGAAUUUCUGCCAUCACUUGUGUGGAGUGGGGGCCGCCCCUAGCUACGCAGCAGCCAGGCAAGGAUAACCGGGGCAAGAGGUCUAGAUGACUCCUUGGACAACUUUUAGCAAGGAUUUGCUGGGUGGAUUCUGAUUUGCUUCCAGAGAGGUCUGUGUGUUUGUGUGAGGGAGAGAGAUGGAGGGAGAGGGCAGGGAAGGUGAUUUCAUGGUUUGAAAGCUGCUGGGAAAGCUGAUUCCCACUAAAUGCAGAAAAGCCAUUGGACAAAAUCCAACGCCCUUUGUGAUCAAAACACUCAGGACACUAGAAACACAAGGCAGCUCCCUGAGCCUGGGAAAGGGCAUCUGUGAACAAGACAGAGCUCACAUGCAUCAUACUUCACGGGAGAGACUGGAAGCCUCGUCCCUGACGUCAGGACAAGGUUGUUGAUUAAUCAAUCCUGGUGCUCAACUGCACAGACAGCACUGUGCACAUGCCAGGCAGGAACCCAUGACCCCAGGAGGUCCCCAGAGACAAGAAUCCUCAGAAACACUGACACCGGAAGCAAGCAGCCCUUCAAUAAGGACAAUCUGGCUUCCAGCAGCCCAAGUAGCUUGAUUACCGAGUCAAGGCCAGCCCGGCAGCCCACGUGGUCCCAGCAGCAGCUUACUAGUCCACCAGUGCUGAAAUGUGACCCCAAACCUGCAUUGGGAAGACAGAUUGGAGAGAUUUGCCCCCUGUUACCUUGUGAGACGACCUUGCAAUGAAGCUCUUCUUUUCUCAAAAGCCAAGGCCAUAGUCCUGGCUUCUAUGCGCAUCAGGCAGCAAGCCCUUGCUCAGUAACAAGGCGAUGGAUUCAAACUUGACUCACGGCGGUAGGAUUUGGGAAUAUACACAUAUAUGGAAUCAUUAUAUUUUACACCUGAAACUAAUAUAUUUCAAUUAAAAAGUCAAUUUUACUUCUCCAUGCUAGCAAUGAAAAACUGACAAUGAAAGUAAGAAAAUAGGUUAAUUUACAAUAGCAUCCAAACCAAUAAAAUCCUUAGUAAUAAAUCUAACUUAAGAAGUACAAGACUUGUACAACAAAUGCUCCAAAACAUUAUUGAAAGCAAUUAAAGAGGGCCAAAAUACAUGAAAAGACUGCCCAUAUUCAUGGAUCGAAGACUUUAUACUAUGAAGAUGGUGAUACUGCAUGGAGAGAACUGCAGAGUCAAUGCAACCUCGAGCAAAAUCUCAGCAGCCUCUUUUGCAGUAACUGACC
rnacentral:lncRNA from 1 species